rnacentral:rRNA from 1 species
UUGACCUCGGAUCAGGCAGGGAUACCCGCUGAACUUAAGCAUAUCAAUAAGCGGAGGAAAAGAAACCAACAGGGAUUGCCUCAGUAACGGCGAGUGAAGCGGCAACAGCUCAAAUUUGAAAUCUGGCUCUUUUAGGGUCCGAGUUGUAAUUUGUAGAGGAUGCUUCGGCGUCGGCUCCGGUCUAAGUUCCUUGGAACAGGACGUCAUAGAGGGUGAGAAUCCCGUAUGUGAUCGGUUGCCCUUGCCAUGUGAAGCUCCUUCGACGAGUCGAGUUGUUUGGAAUGCAGCUCUAAUGGAGGUAAAUUUCUUCUAAGCUAAAUACUGGCCAGAGACCGAUAGCGCCCAAGUAGAGUGAUCGAAA